rnacentral:lncRNA from 1 species
GUCCAUUUACUACUUCGUGGUGGGGGACAUUCCGGCGGAGUCCAGGGAGCUUCUCCUCCAGAGGGCUUUGGACAUCCCACAUCCUGUGCACACAGUGUCCUUCAACGCCAGAGGAGAAGGCAUGGUAGCUUUCCUGAAGGAGCUGAGCGCCAAGACCCACGGCAGGUUCCACGCGUUUGCCGAGAGGACAGAGUGCAUGGAAUUGCCAGCUUUCCCCACGGAGGCUGGUGACAACGUGAUCACUUGGAAUUCAAGAAGGCUGAGAGGAAAGCUCCCCCCAGGUACCUGGAGCCCCAGAGGAGCCGCGUAGU